rnacentral:rRNA from 1 species
GAUGAACGCUGGCGGCGCGCNUAACACAUGCAAGUCGAACGGUUAAAGCCCCUUCGGGGGUGCAUAAAGUGGCGAACGGCUGAGUAACACGUGGGCAACCUGCCCCUCGCACCGGGACAGCCUCGGGAAACCGUGGUUAAUACCGGAUACUCCCGCACCCCCGCAUGGGGGCGCGGGGAAAGCCCAGACGGCGAGGGAUGGGCCCGCGGCCUGUUAGCUCGUUGGCGGGGUAACGGCCCACCAAGGCGAUGAUGGGUAGCCGGGUUGAGAGACCGACCGGCCAGAUUGGGACUGAGACACGGCCCAGACUCCUACGGGAGGCAGCAGUGGGGAAUCUUGCGCAAUGGGCGGAAGCCUGACGCAGCGACGCCGCGUGCGGGAAGGAGGCCUUCGGGUCGUAAACCGCUUUCAGCAGGGACGAGGCCGCGAGGUGACGGUACCUGCAGAAGAAGCCCCGGCUAACUACGUGCCAGCAGCCGCGGUAAUACGUAGGGGGCAAGCGUUAUCCGGAUUCAUUGGGCGUAAAGCGCGCGUAGGCGGCCUGUUAGGUCGGGAGUCAAAUCCGGGGGCUCAACCCCCGCCCGCUCCCGAUACCGGCGGGCUUGAGUCUGGCAGGGGAAGGCGGAAUUCCAAGUGUAGCGGUGGAAUGCGCAGAUAUUUGGAAGAACACCGGUGGCGAAGGCGGCCUUCUGGGCCACGACUGACGCUGAGGCGCGAAAGCUAGGGGAGCGAACAGG